GACGAACGCUGGCGGCGUGCUUAACACAUGCAAGUCGAACGGAAAGGCCCUGCUUGCCGGGUACUCGAGUGGCGAACGGGUGAGUAACACGUGGGUGAUCUGCCCUGCACUUCGGGAUAAGCUUGGGAAACUGGGUCUAAUACCGGAUAGGACCGCACUUUAGUGUGUGUGGUGGAAAGUUUUUUCGGUGUAGGAUGAGCUCGCGGCCUAUCAGCUUGGUGGUGGGGUAAUGGCCUACCAAGGCGGCGACGGGUAGCCGGCCUGAGAGGGUGUACGGCCACAUUGGGACUGAGAUACGGCCCAGACGCCUACGGGAGGCAGCAGUGGGGAAUAUUGCACAAUGGGCGCAAGCCUGAUGCAGCGACGCCGCGUGGGGGAUGAAGGCCUUCGGGUUGUAAACUCCUUUCGCUAGGGACGAAGCUUUUUGUGACGGUACCUAGAUAAGAAGCACCGGCUAACUACGUG
rnacentral:rRNA from 1 species